rnacentral:rRNA from 1 species
UACGUAGGGUGCAAGCGUUGUCCGGAAUUAUUGGGCGUAAAGAGCUCGUAGGCGGUCUGUCGCGUCGGAUGUGAAAACCCAGGGCUCAACCCUGGGCCUGCAUUCGAUACGGGCAGACUAGAGUUCGGUAGGGGAGACUGGAAUUCCUGGUGUAGCGGUGGAAUGCGCAGAUAUCAGGAGGAACACCGGUGGCGAAGGCGGGUCUCUGGGCCGAAACUGACGCUGAGGAGCGAAAGCGUGGGGAGCAAACAGG